AUAAGUCUCCACCACCACCUAAGAAGCCCUACCACCCUUCACCAACCCCAUAUCAUCCUGUACCCGUUUAUAAAUCUCCACCCCCACCAACUCCAGUUUACAAGUCGCCACCACCACCCAAGAAGCCACAAUAUCCUCCACACAUCCCGGUUUAUAAGUCGCCACCACCACCAACUCCCGUUUACAAGUCACCACCACCACCCAAGAAGCCACACUACCCUCCACACAUCCCUGUUUAUAAGUCACCACCACCGCCCAAGAAGCCAUACUAUCCUCCACAUACUCCAGUUUACAAGUCGCCACCACCACCAACUCCGGUUUACAAGUCACCACCGCCACCCAAGAAACCAUACUAUCCUCCACACAUCCCUGUUUACAAAUCUCCACCACCACCUACUCCAGUUUACAAGUCGCCACCACCACCCAAGAAGCCAUACUACCCUCCACACACCCCGGUUUAUAAGUCUCCACCACCACCAACUCCUGUUUACAAGUCACCACCACCACCCAAGAAGCCAUACUAUCCUCCACACACACCAGUUUACAAGUCGCCACCACCACCUACUCCCGUUUACAAGUCACCACCACCACCAACACCCGUUUACAAGUCACCACCACCACCUAAGAAGCCACACCAUCCUUCACCAACCCCAUAUCAUC
rnacentral:lncRNA from 1 species